AGCGGUUGUUGCUCCCUGAGGGAGGAAACGGCUUUUUACGUCUCUUACACUAGAGCGUUCAUUUCUCUCGUUCCACGUUUCGGGUGCAGUACGGGGCCCAGAGCUCAGAAACGGCUCGUGAAACGCGACCAGAACAAUUGGAGUUUCGAACGCUGUGUGUGAUUGAGUUGAAUUAGAGGCACAUUAAGGUGUGUGCUUUGAGAAGUCAUUCCCAGGAGCUGUCCACGACAAAAGGAAUUCAUCAUCAUCGGCAGCUAGCUCCACCUCAAGGGACAGAACUACCCAAACUAGAAAUUUAUUCAUGUAUGUGACUUCAGCGGCAAGAAUGUUACUUGCCCAAAAUGGAAAGAAGUCGUCCCAGCAAAAGAAGACUGGAUACCUAAACUUAUGGAAUAUGCAGAAAUGAUGAAACUUACUGGAAAAGCAUUUGUUGCCCUUUAUCUCACAAAAAAAUAUAGUGGCAAGCGUCUCCAAAGAGCCUGUUUCUGUUCACCCGCUGAUCCCAUGUCCAACAGAGUUAAUAAGUUUGCAGCAGAGAGUGUCAGUGCUUGUGUGUGGCACCCAGGAGGAAGGCACGCUUGGCAAAUCCACACCGUGAUCAACUCCCGCCCGGAAACCAAUGUUCCCACUGUGGAAGGACGUGUGGAUCCAGAAUUGGCCUCCACAGUCACUUACGGACUCAUUGUUAAAACCGUGUUUAUGGAAGACAAUCUUACUCGGCUACGAGUGAUCACCGAAGAAGAGAAGAUUGCAAAGGUGUAUUGAGAUCUCUGUAGUGACUUCUGCAUCUGAGAUUACUACCUUGUACUUACAAAUAUAUGUUUAAUGAUUUCAUCAACUUGUUUAUUUUUGACCCCCAGUCGGGAAUCUAACUGUAUUCCCUACAAUACUAUCAAAUUAUAGGUUAAUCUUCUGGACAAUUACUCAUACCACAACCAAACAAGUCCAAGGCAAACAUCAGCCAUAAAGGAUUGGUUAUAUAGUUUGAGGUAUACAUUUUGGACAGUACCUUGUUGCUUCAGCUUGCUUUAUCCCAGUAGUAUAGAAAGGUGCAUCGUUGUUAUAUUCAUCAAAGACUCCCCAUCUGAGGUGAGCCCAUUCAUGGACAAACACUCUGCCUGUGGAAGACCAUUGACAAAGCUAAUUGUGACACUAUUCAGGUGUCCUGGGUACUAAAUACUAUGGAUCCCUUACUCAGAACCAAAUUAUUUACUCAACUUCUUGAUGGGAUACUACUGGGCUUUCCCUGUGAACCUCAAGCUAUUACAGAAAAAGGUAUUCCUCUGCUAUGUACAUUUUAUGCCAAUUGUUGAUGACAAGCUUUUAAGAGCCGAUAUGGAAAUGGAAUUAGCUUCCUGCAGUGAAACAGGAACAAGUUCAGCUGGCUUCAGAAAGCAAGCUUUUAUGGUCUGAAAAUGUUCAGAUGAACCUAACAUAAAAUAUUGCUAAUUCCUUAUAUAUAUAUAUUUAAAAAUAGUUUUUAUUAAGUUUCUUACAAAUAUAACACAUACUAAAACAAAAAAGAAAGAGACAAAAUCACAUAUAUAAACAAAAAAGAAAAUAGGAAAAAAACAAAAAAAUAUGUCAACAAAUACCUAGACAAUACAAAACAAAUUAAUUGGUUAUUUAAACUUCUAACGUCAUAAACAUAUUUUGGACUUCCUCUGAGCCCUCCCAUCUGAAUUUCCUUGUAUUUAAAUGUAGCAGUUUUCUAAUAUCAUUAUUAAAACACUGUGUUCCAAUUAAAAUAACUUGCUAAUUCCUUAUAUAAACUUAGGAGAUAUUAAGCAAAUAAAACCAAACCAUUCAUGGUUUCUCAGUUCUUGCUCUGUUUAUUGUCUUUUGAAACAUUGACAAUUUAAGACUGUAGUAAUAAAUACAAAUAAUUUAAGAUGGAUUAACAGGUACUACCUCGUGAUCCAUAAACAGCAUGCAAACUGUCAUUUGUCAGGAAAUUAGGAGUGAAAUGAAUGUAUCUUCCCUGUUCCCCACAUCCGCCAUACUGCAAGGUAUAGGGAUCAUCUCCAUAUUUCAGGUAAGGCUCUGCCACUAUGACAUCAGCCUAAAGUAAAAUAGAACUUGGUUGAAAGAUCACCAAAAUACCUUUGAUAUUAAUGCUAUAUGGUGGGUUUUGCCUCAGCAAACCACCCUCAGAUUUUUGUUCUGCAUAGAAAGGCACAAUUCUGGACCGCAGGGUUGAAUGGAAGUUUUUGCCUGAAACAAAAAUCUCUUAAAACCGUUGGGAUUCCAUAUUUCUUUUGAGUAAACACCUGCGUGUUUCAUGGGACAUGCAGCCCCAUGCUAUGCAGGUUGAUUCGGAAGAAAGACAUGAUGUGUUCAGUUGAGCUUAGGCCCAAUAUAUAGGAUUGCAGUGUAAUUUUCAAUAAAGAUGUGUACAGUCACAUGUUACAACAUAAGAGCCCUCAGGAUCACAUCAAGCAUAGUGCACCAAGCGAAGUGCUUAGAGGGCUGGGCUAGGAGACCAGGUUUUGAGCCCCCCACUCGGUCAUGAAGCUCACUGGGUGACUUUGGGCCAUUCACCGCUUCUCAGCCUAACCUACCUCACAGUUGUGCAGGUUAAAUGAGGAGGGAUAAACUGUGUACGCCACCUUAAGCCCCAUGGAGGUUAAGGUGGAAUAUGAAUGCAAUAAAUAACAUCAAGUCCAGCAUCCUGACCCUAACAGCAAUUACCUAGAAGCUGACAGACAGAAAAGCAACAGCUAGUAUUGAGAGACUCAUUCCUUUUCAAUGGGAAGUUACAUUGAGGUAUUAUGGCUAACAGUCAUGGCUAGAGAUAUUUUCCAUGAAUUUGUCUCAGCCCCUAUUAAAGCUACCAAAAUGUAAGCCCCGGAAUAUUUGAAGAAUUCUCCCCACCACUCCAAGCGAAUAUUAGAUCAGUCUUAUUUUGCAAUUUCUGCCCCAAUGUUUAUUAUUGUUAUUGUUAUUUGCCACAAUAUUCUUUUAAAUCCCUCAAGCACAUUUAAAUUUUAAUGCAUAUGCCUCACUUACCUUGUCAUAGGAUUCUAUAGUCACUCUUUCAUAUUCAGGUUUUGGUGCCCAUGUCAAAGGAAUUAUAACUUUUACAGACUUGAAAUAAAAUCUUUGUUCUGUAGCACUGAAGAGGUAAGCAGAUGCCUCUUUAAUCAUAUCCUACAAGGAAAAUAAUGAGUGUUCAGUGGCUAGCAUUCGCAUUCACACUUGCAGAAUGUGCAUUGGGUCUUUUCUGCCCUCCCUCCUGAACCUGGAGGUAUUUCAUUUGAAAAGACUGGGGGAUAGGCAGCCUUCCCUAACCUCCACUCUUUAAGUAGAAUAGAUGCCCUUCAAUAUGCUCCUAUUCUCUAAUGGUUUGAACAGCAACCUGACAUAAAGAAAUUCAGUAAACAAAACCAUUCUUAGUUUGGUGGAAAGCAAUGAGAAAAGUUGUGCCUCUUAACUUUCUGGGUGUGUAACCAUAUUGCUUAUUCUUGUUUGCACUGCAUAGAGUAUACAACCAUCUCUGUUUAGUGAAAAAGGCAUUAGUAAGCCUAAGAGACGAUUAACAGAAAAUUCCCAAGUGGGAUAUUCGUAUAUUUUGGGAAUUGUCUCCUCAAGAAAGCUUGUCUAGCACCUACCCUAGGAAUGGGUGUGUGUGUUAAUUUUUACUUUAUUUGCAUUUUAACGAGAAGCUAAUUUGCAUUUUCCAGACCAAUACAGUACAUGAACCCCAAACACCCCAGCCUUCAGAAUUUGCACUUUGCCAAAUUGUUCAGUGUAGUUCCCUAAAAAUGCAUCUAUUGGGGGAAAACAGCUACAGAAAUGCUGCCAGUGCCAUUAAUUAUAGAGCCGAAACAGCGCCACUAUUUCACAAGAGGGACUUAUAAGAAGGCUUGGAGUCAUCACAAGUUUGCAAAAAUGAAAAAAAAAUAUUCAGGAAAAGAAAAACCCCUUGAGGUUUGGGAUACACCUGAAAAACAGCCUAAUGAAAAUUAAAUGAUGGACUGUGGCAGAGACCAGGAGAAGGUAGAUUGGAUUAUCCUGGAGGAAGACAUAGUUGAAUAGAACAGGGAAGAGCAGCACCCCACACUUUGACAUUUUCUUAUGGGUCCCACCUAUUCUUGGGUGCAGGGGUGUCCAGUAGCACCUUGGAACCUAUGCUUACAAGAUGAACGCUGCAUUUUCCCAGCAUAUCACAGGUCCCUGAGGGGACAGUGAUUCAAUAUAUUCAGAAACAUCUAACCACCUUACCUUUAUGUUGUCGACAAUUUUGUUGUCUUCAGCUACUGCAGGAUUAAUUGCAAUGACAAUGUCUUCAAACCCACCGUUGUUGAGUUUUACCAUGGUACCCGUCGCCCCACGUAGGAAUUGUAACACCAACAGAAGAAGCCACCGACUGAACACCAUAUUUGCUUCUGCCACUUAGCCCUGUCCCACAGAAAGGACUAAUAGAACGGGAGGGCUAUUUAUGCAAGUGCAUAACUGCUUGGUUUAUGACAGGACUUUGUUCUGUCAAGGAAAUUCUGCUAUUUUUCUAUUUCCUGAUAGUGCCAUCUUCAGGUAACAAACUGGUGAAUCUUUAAGGAAUGUUGUAAUUUAAUCCAACCCUGCACUUCCUUGUUCUGCUCACCGUUAAUAGAUUGCAAACUUUUUUCUGAA